UACGUAGGUGGCAAGCGUUGUCCGGAUUUACUGGGCGUAAAGCGUAUGCAGGCGGACCGUUAAGUAGGAAGUGAAAGGUUGGAGCUCAACUCUACACUGCUCCCUAUACUGGCGGUCUUGAGUGGCGGAGAGGAAGACGGAACGACACGUGUAGCGGUGAAAUGCGUUGAUAUGUGUCGGAACACCAAUGGCGAAAGCAGUCUCUGGACGCGAACUGACGCUGAGAUACGAAAGCCAAGGUAGCAAACGG
rnacentral:rRNA from 1 species